UUGACGUCAAACAAUUUUUUGGUAUUAGAAAACGUGCACUGUUAAAAUAUUUAAAGAAAAUGUUCAAAAUGCUUACUGUAUGCUAAAUAUCUCUAACCUUUGGUUUGUUUUCAGGAGGAAAAUAUAAUGUGUUUUGUUACUAAAAUUUUGAUGCUUAUUUCUCAGAUUAAGCCUUAUGCUCUGGAUUGAUUUGUUCAAGGUCUUCAGAACAGAAGAAAACCACAGCCUUCAAAGACAAUCCCCUUUUUGAGGAGUCGUAUUGCCUCUAGAACAUACAUUUACUUCAGCAGUAAAAGAAAACUCAAAAGGCUUUAUGGGAAUUUUUUUGUUAAUAAUCAUGUUUUGGGACUAACAAUCUCUGACACCAUCCCUCCACCAUCCCUCCUCAUGCCAUCAGUCACAAACACCAUUGAUGAAAAAGAGUGCUUUCAAAAAAACUUGUGUCUAAAGAACUUUGAUACCUACCAUGUCAGUAAAAAGGUAUUUUAUCGUGUGGAUUG